UACGUAGGGCGCGAGCGUUUGUCCGGAAUCAUUGGGCGUAAAGAGCUCGUAGGCGGCCUGUCGCGUCUGCUGUGAAAUCCCGGGGCUUAACCCCGGGCGUGCAGUGGAUACGGGCUGGCUGGAGGCAGGCAGGGGAGAACGGAAUUCCCGGUGUAGCGGUGAAAUGCGCAGAUAUCAGGAAGAACACCCGUGGCUAAGGCGGCUCUCUAGUACGGUACUGACGCUGAGACGCGAAAGCGUGGGGAGCGAACAGG
rnacentral:rRNA from 1 species